rnacentral:rRNA from 1 species
AGGGUUUGAUCCUGGCUCAGGAUGAACGCUGGCGGCGUGCUUAACACAUGCAAGUCGAGCGGAGUUAAUUAGAAGCUUGCUUUUGAUUAACUUAGCGGCGGACGGGUGAGUAACGUGUGGGCAACCUGCCCUGUACUGUGGAAUAAUCACUUGAAAAGGUGACUAAUACCGCAUGUGGUCCUUAGGAGGCAUCUUCUGAGGAAGAAAGGAAAUAUUCGGUACAGGAUGGGCCCGCAUCUGAUUAGCUAGUUGGUGAGAUAACAGCCCACCAAGGCGACGAUCAGUAGCCGACCUGAGAGGGUGAUCGGCCACAUUGGGACUGAGACACGGCCCAA